rnacentral:ribozyme from 1 species
UGCCCAGCCACUCCUACCCCUACCUCCUCGCGGUACCGGCCGGAAACCAGAGCAACCUUAGGGAAGAUCGGGUAACCAACCCCGGUGGGAACUUCGUAGGCUGACAGGGAAGG